GGAACAGUGCCCUACCAAUGCUGUUUACAGUGGCGGUGGGCAGCUGUUGACCUCAACUGGGGAUGUCGUCGGGCGGUGGAAGGAGUACUUCGAGGAUCUCCUCAAUCCCGCCGUCACGUCUUCCAUUGAGGACUGUCAGGUCCCUGUACGACCGAAGCAGGAGCUUGGUCCGCAUUGCCGGCAGUAAGUCAGACUUGUUCCCGGUGCAUGUUGGACUCCGGCAGGGCUGCCCUUUGUCGCCGGUUCUGUUCGUAAUUUUCAUGGACAGAAUUUCUAGGCGCAGCCAGGGGCCAGAGGGUGUCAGGUUUGGGGACCACACGAUUUCGUCUCUGCUCUUUGCGGAUGAUGUUGUCGUGUUGGCCCCUUCAAAUCAGGAGCUUCAGCAUGCACUGAGACGGUUUGCAGCCGAGUGUGAAGCGGUUGGGAUGAAAAUCAGUACCUCCAAAUUCGAUGGUCUUCAGUCGGAAAAGGGUGGCUUGCCCACUUCAGGUUGGUGGAGAGUUCUUGCCUCAAGUGGAGGAGUUUAAGUAUCUAGGGGUCUUGUUCACGAGUGAGGGAAGGAUGGAACGGGAGAUUGACAGACGGAUCGGUGCAGCUUCUGCAGGAAUGCGGUCUUUGUAUCGGUCUGUCAUGGUGAAGAUAGAGCUGAGUCGCAAGGCCAAGCUCUCGAUUUACCGGUCAAUCUACGUUCCAACUCUCACCUAUGGUCAUGAGCUUUGGGUCAUGACUGAAAGGACAAGAUCCCGGAUACAGGCGGCCGAAAUGAGCUUUCUCCGCAGGGUGGCUGGGUGAUCCCUUAGAGAUAGGGUGAGAAGCUCGGUCACCCAGGAGGAGCUCAGAGUAGAACCGCUGCUCCUCCACAUUGAGAGGGGUCAGAUGAGGUGGCUUGGGCAUCUGUUUCGGAUGCCUCCUGAACGCCUUCCCGGGAAGGUGUUCCAGGCCCAUUCCAACGGGUGGAGACCCCGGGGAAGACCUAGGACACGCUGGAGGGACUAUGUCUCCCAGCUGGCCUGGGAACGCCUCGGUGUCCCCCCGGAAGAGCUGGAGGAAGUGUCUAGGGAGAGGGAAGUCUGGGCAUCUCUGCUUAGACUGCUGCCCCCGCGACCCGGCCCCGGAUAAGCGGAAAGAAGAUGGAUGGAAGGAAGUCAUUAAAACUUCUCCAUCCGGGUUACGGCACCAUGCUGUUAGAAAUCAGCCGUUUUGUAUUGUGGUUGAAAUAAUCAUUGCGUACCAUGGGAGAGAGUAAUUCAAUUAUUUAUUGCAGCAUUCGAUAGUCAAUUGUUCAUGAUGUUACAGACUGUAUUAAAACUUGAUCUCAUCUCACUCAAUCUCAAAGAACAUACGGUUGUACCUCUACUUUAUAGAUAUUGCAACCUGGAAUACACAUCACAGUACUGUAAGCCCAUUGGCUAGUUACUGUAGCGCUUUGAAUAAACAUGACUUUCCGUGUACGGAUUAACAGAUCCUUUGUGAACCUGUUGGUACUCUGAAGAAAGACAGUGAUUACACGUGGUAGAGCUGUCAGGGAAUAUGCUUUGAAGCUUAGUCCUGGAAUAGUUUUGUCCAUGUAAGAUCGUAAAAAUAUGAGACAAUAUAAAAUGUAUACAUGCCUGUAAAAUUUGCCUUAAACAGACAAUCUGGACCCAUGGAUUCACAACAUGUGUCAGUCAUGGGAUCGGAUGUGCAUCACUCUCAAAAAGAUCCUACAGGAGAGGAGGCAAAAUGCAGUUCACUACAAACUACAGCGAUAAGACCAGAAACACAAGUUGAAAAUGCCACCUAUGCCCAAGUGAUCAAAACCAAGAAGAAAGGAAAUGAGCCUGUGUACAGUCUUCUGAUGAAAAAAUAGAGGACAUUGUGCUACUGUCAACUUUGUCAUUCCAGUUUAUAAAAUAGUAUUCAGUGUGCCUUGAAAGGAUGUAAACACCUUGUGCAAUUAUAGCUCUUUAGUUUUCAACCGUGAAAUGUUUAAUUGAUGAGAACCUUUUUUCAUCUGACAAAACAGCUUUAUAGUUACCUAUUGCAUUUGUUGGUUUAUAGGAAAUCAUGCAUUUAGUAGAUAAAUAAAAUACAAAAUUAAUUAAUGUAGAUGCAAAAAUAAAUAUAGCUCAAUCUGAAGUGGUUAAAUCCAGUAGGUAAGUAGAAUCAGGUCUGUAAUUAAUUGGGUAACAAAUGAACCCAUCGAAGUAGGGAUCUGUAGGAAAGAGUUUAAGUGGGACAUGCAACCUGGUCAGUUUGGUGUUACCCAUACAGGUAAAUGCAAAAAAACACCAUGCCAAAGUAAAGGAGUUCUCUGCGAACAUCAAGAAGAGGGUAAUGUGAGCAAAUCAGUCUGAGGAAAGCUAUACAACCAUCUAAAAAGGUAUGCUCCAGUAGUCCACUGUGAAGCAAUCAUUUACAGAUGGAAAGCAAUUAACAUCACCGCAACUCAGCUUAGAAGUGGAUGUCCUUCCAAAAUAUCCCCUAGAGCCCCUGGUCAACUGCACGUCAUCAACUUUAUAAUGAAUUCUGAGGUUUCCCAGGAGUUUCUUGAACAGAAUGUAAGGCCAUCAGUCAAUAAUGGAUGGCCUUACAAGACAAUGACGAAACUAUUUGUGUUUUGGAUUGGCCAAACCAUAGUUCUAACCGUAAUCCAAUUCCAAUGGUUUGGCAGGAUUUGAAGCGUGCAGUAAAUGCCAGACAACCCUCAAACCUCACCCAAUUGGUGGAGAUCCAUAAAGAGGAGUGACCAAAAAUCUUUACCAGAGACAUUAAAUCAAAGUUAUCACUGCUAAUUGAGGUGACAAAAGCUAUUAAAUUAAGGGGUUUCACAUAUUUUUGUACACAUUAAAUCACUUUUGUAAAAUGAACAAUGAACAUAUAUGCUUUUGUUUGUGUCCUUUAUUUGUCUUUAUUACAAAUUAGGGUUUCACAAAGGUUUUUGGGAGUUUAUUUUAA
ensembl:lncRNA